GACGAACGCUGGCGGUGUGCUUAACACAUGCAAGUGGUGCGACGAACCAGAGCUUGCUCUGGGGCAAAGCCGCGAACGGGUGAGUAGCACGUGGGUAAUCUACCCCGAUGACCGGGACAACCCGAGGAAACUCGGGCUAAUACCGGAUGUGGUACGGAGACAUAAGUCUCUUUACUAAAGGUAGCUUCGGCUUCCGCAUUGGGAGGGGCCCGCGGCCCAUUAGCUAGUUGGUGGGGUCAAGGCCUACCAAGGCAACGAUGGGUAGCUGGUCUGAGAGGACGAUCAGCCACACUGGGACUGAGACACGGCCCAGACUCCUACGGAGGCAGCAGUGGGGAAUCUUGCGCAAUGCGCGAAAGCGUGACGCAGCAACACCGCGUGAGGGAAGACGGCCUUAGGGUUGUAAACCUCUUUCAGAUGGGACGAAGGUGAUGCGGUGAAUAGCCGAUGUCAUUGACGGUACCGUCAGAAGAAGCUCCGGCUAACUACGUGCCAGCAG
rnacentral:rRNA from 1 species